GAUGAAGAACGCAGCGAAAUGCGAUAAGUAAUGUGAAUUGCAGAAUUCAGUGAAUCAUCGAAUCUUUGAACGCACAUUGCGCCCUUUGGUAUUCCGAGGGGCAUGCCUGUUCGAGCGUCAUUUCACCACUCAAGCCUCGCUUGGUAUUGGGCAACGCGGUCCGCCGCGUGCCUCAAAUCGACCGGCUGGGUCUUCUGUCCCCUAAGCGUUGUGGAAACUAUUCGCUAAAGGGUGUUCGGGAGGCUACGCCGUAAAACAACCCCAUUUCUAAGGUUGACCUCGGAUCAGGUAGGGAUACCCGCUGAACUUAAGCAUAUCAAUAAGCGGAGGA
rnacentral:misc_RNA from 1 species